rnacentral:rRNA from 1 species
GAUGAACGCUGGCGGCGUGCCUAAUACAUGCAAGUCGAGCGAACGGACGAGAAGCUUGCUUUUCUGAUGUUAGCGGCGGACGGGUGAGUAACACGUGGAUAACCUACCUAUAAGACUGGGAUAACUUCGGGAAACCGGAGCUAAUACCGGAUAAUAUUUUGAACCGCAUGGUUCAAAAGUGAAAGACGGUCUUGCUGUCACUUAUAGAUGGAUCCGCGCUGCAUUAGCUAGUUGGUAAGGUAACGGCUUACCAAGGCAACGAUGCAUAGCCGACCUGAGAGGGUGAUCGGCCACACUGGAACUGAGACACGGUCCAGACUCCUACGGGAGGCAGCAGUAGGGAAUCUUCCGCAAAGGGCGAAAGCCUGACGGAGCAACGCCGCGUGAGUGAUGAAGGUCUUCGGAUCGUAAAACUCUGUUAUUAGGGAAGAAAAGAUGUGUAAGUAACUGUGCACAUCUUGACGGUACCUAAUCAGAAAGCCACGGCUAACUACGUG